rnacentral:lncRNA from 1 species
UUUUUCCAGGUCAAUCCCUUAUGAUUACAAGUUCCCGGUGGUUGAGGUUAAAAAUGAUGAUGUUGCCGUUGAAGUAAUGGACAUGAUAAAAUGAGACUUUUAAUGGUAAAAUCAGUAAUAUAUAUAACAAUGCAUCAUAGAAUUAAUUACCAUAUACACAAGUAUCUAUAAUUUUCGUUGGAUGAAUUAUUUAUGUAUUAGUGGAUCACUGGCUAUGUGAUAUUCUGAUAGUUAUGGUAGUUUCUUUUGGAAAUAUAUCCUACAGAAAAGAUGAGGUGCAAUCACAGCUGUAUGGAAGAGUAUAAAUAAUUAUGGAAUCGUCAAUGAUGAAUUGUUUUCCAUUUACAAAAUAAUAGUAUAGAUUUUCUAUAAAUAGUGCAAAUAGAUGGCUUAUGUAAAUAUUAAACCCUAACCCCAACUCA